GGAACAAAGCUUGCUGCUGAUUGAUUCUCCAAUCGUCGAAGAUCAAGUUGGGAAAGAAAGAAGAAAGGCAACUCCUCCAUUCAUUUCAAAUGAACCAGCCAAUAGUUGGCAAGUUGAUUCUUUCAAUGAAGCUAUGACUGCGCCAUUUUAUGCCAUCUUCACCUUCAAGACCUUCCUGAUAAAAAUAUCAGUCCUUACUGGGAGAUCCAUGUGGACCAUCAGGAAAUCAUUUGCUGUAUACUGGUAUUGGGCAGUAUGAUGAUGAUAGGCAUUCAGGCAAGCAGGGAGAUAAUGGCGGCGACAAGGAGCAUGCUCGUGCUCUCUGAGAUGGCUUCUCAUGUCGUUCAUCUUUAUGCAGCAGCGAAGUGGACUAGAAGCAAAGAUAUGGCAGUCUGACUGGAAAGAUCAUGAACAGAAACAAUAAACUCACAGACAUGUAGUAAGAAUUUUAUAGUUCUCAUUUUGAUCAGAAAAAUCCUUCCAGAUAACUUUUACUUCUUUUUUUUUUUUUGGAUUCAGAAAGGUCAUGACAAACUCUGGAGACAUGAAAAAUGAAGGCAUAAAAUUAAUGAAUCUAAACAUUAAUUCCUGAUCAAUUAGAGGUUUUUAAUCUCAUAACAUUAAGACUAUGGCUAGUGCCAAAGAAUAUAGACAGAGAGAAAACACAGUUAAAGAGGUAGCAUCUAGGAUUAGCUCAAGUCACAUCUGAUGACACUGCUUUCAACGUUUUAACUAAUGGCUGAGCUAGAGUGAGAAGCACAAUAACCUUUCAAUCAUAGAUGGCUUCUAAAUCAAAGAGGUUCCAAGUCCAAAGAAAACAGAAGGUUCUCUUAUCGGUUGUGCAAGGAGAAGCAUUGGGCAAUGGGAGCACUGCUUUUUGACAAAUAGCACAUCACUAAGAGUUGGUUGUUGAAUGGGACCAUUCUUCGGUCAGCAAUCGUCAAAAUAUGCACUGUGUGGGCUCUAUGAUCUCCGCUCAUGUGAUGUUAGAUCUGCCGGGGGACAACGAAUCAUCAUCAAGACUUUCUAAAGUUUAUGUUUCACCAUUUGCAUUUUAGACAUGAAUUGUUCAUAAAGGAGGUUGCAAUUCCUAGUAGGUAAAGCUGGAAUUUAGGCUGUGUCUUGUUUCAGAUCUCCUAAAAGUAGGUUAGCAAUGGUUUUCAACAUCAACAGAAAAAGCCAUGGCUGCUAACCUGAGAUCAUUGCGUUAAUUCUAAAUGUUGACUUAAUAAGGAUGCUCCUUAUGAACAAAGUGGAAGCAUUUGAACUUU